CCAAAGGCCCAAUUUUGAGCUCACUUCUUCUUUUACAAGACUAUAAGAAAAAACCCUAGCCAUCUUCGUCUUCCUCGCCAAGACCUUUAACCUUAAGACAAGAACAACCAUGGAGGCUGCCAUAUCUUCUUCUUCUUGAACAAAGACUAGCGAGACCCUAGCGCCUAAAGAGCAUCCUUCAACGACCAACAGCUUCCACCGCCGCCCAUCUCCACAACCAUAGAAUGGUCUUCACCUCUGAACCCUUCAGCUGGAGCUUCUUCUUCACUCCUUGAACCAGACCCUCACACAAAACGAACCCCUCCCCGAGGUCGUUCUUCUUCAACAGAGGAACUUCUCAUCAUCCAUUAUCAAGGCCUAAGUAGCCAUCGCCGGAACACCUCUCCUCUUCAAAUCAACCAGCGACCAGACCCAAUCCAGCUCGCCGGAAAACACACACACAUACACCCGAAGAAGGAACGGACGAGAUUCUUUUUCUUAUUUUAAGUUCGGAUUCAAACCUUCUGAUUUUCAUGUCAAUUUCUAGCUUCUUCUUCUGAUUUCUGAUUUUAAAAAAGAAAACAUGGAACUCAAUCGAGUUUGAGUGAGCCGAUUCCUGUCAACGGUUCCGAUUUUUAAGUCCAAUUUCGGGUUUGAAUUUGGUUGUUGAGAUGGAGCUGGUUAAGUCGGUGUUCGGGUUCCGAUUCGCGUUUGUGCUAAUAUUUUUGGGGUUGAUACUCUUUUUUUUUUUGUUGAAUUUUGUUGCCCUUCAUUUGGACAAAACUGUAAGCCCGAAGUUUCUCUAAUCUGGAAGAAAUUUUUGCCAUUGAGUUGUGCGAUGGAGUUUGAUUGAGUUGGGCCGUUCCGAGCUGGUCAUAUCUGAACAUUUAUGUUGCUGCGUUUGUUUCUUUUAUGAUUUUCAGCCUUUGAGUGUGAGAGCAGAUUUAUGUGAGUAUGAUUGAACAUUCUGACCGAGUGCGAGUACGGAUGAGAUUUACAGUGCCGAUUUGAGUUUCAGUCCGCGGUUCGUUGCGUUUAUGCGUUUCAAGGCUGCCGUUCAUUUAUAUUUCAGAUUCAUUGAGGUCCAUUUCUAAACUCUGUUCUUGAUUGAUUAUAGUGCUCUUCUUCGUGCAUUUUGAUAAAAAAUAAAUCCCACUUGAUAUUUGAUUAUCUGGUUGUGUGUAUAUGGUAUAUUUUGUCUUGCAUUAGUAUGUUAAAUGUUUGUUGAUGUUUGAUUUCUUAAACAAGCAAAAGCGUCUUAGUAGAUUAAUGAUAUAUUGAAUUAAAUUUUAAUGAAAGUGGACAGUUAGGAAGUUAAAAGAAAGAUUUCAGUUGGGAAUUUGUCCAUUUGCUCGUUUUGAAUACCAUUUACCUCAUCGUACAAGUCGUGGUGGGAUUGAAUAUUGAAAAAUGGAAAGAAACUCAUAUCUUAUCUUGUUUAUUGCUUUAAUCGUUAGGAGCAUGUUGAGGUUCGCUAGCACUUGGGUAGGCAAGCUUUUGGACUUCUAUUAAUUUUGAGGCGAAAGAUCGUUCCCGUAGUUAAAUUCAUCCAGGGAAUGCCCCGAAGUAUUUGUAUAUAUUGUAAACAGGGGAAUGCCCCGAAGUAAAUGUAAAUGGAGGCCGUGGAAACAUCAAUGGGCAUAGUAUAGGCUAGCAAGCUUAUUUUAUUUUGCUUUACUUUUCUUUUAUUAGGUGGAGAUGACCUCGAGCCUUAUGUGUGUUUACUUUGUCUUUUUUUGUGAUUUUACCUCUAUUUUGAGUGUUUUAAAAGUCAACUAGAUCGAGUACGCAACGAUGAUUUUCACGGGACUUGGGGAGUGCCUAACACCUUCUCCCCGAGUCAAAUGAACCCCUUACCUGAAUCUUUGGUGCGGACUUAGUUUUGAGUCCAAGUGCUUUAAAAGGAAAAAUAAUUUCUAAAAACGGUGGCCUGGCACACCUUAAUCAAAUGCCAGGUGGCGACUCUGAGUUUAUUUACUUUCGAAAUAAAUUUUUGUCACUUUCCAAAUAGAAAGCCCUUUUCAAGCUUUUACUUAAAUCUUUUUAUUAAUUUAAGAGGGUUUAGUGAAAGUUUGAAUUUUUUAAAAAUGGGUGUGACAUCUCUGGCGACUCUGCUGGGGAGACUCGCGGGUUCGAGCUAGUACUCGAUUUUGUCUGCUUUAGAAUAUUUGGUUGAGUUUUUUUAUGUUUAUUUAUUUAGCUUUGCUCAAUUUUUAUUAUGUUUCGUAUUUUGUUACUUGCUAGUUGUUUAUGUGUUUACAAUUUUACUUUAUGUGUUUACUGCUUUAUAACUGUCAUCAUAUAUAUUACUCGGUCAAUUCUUUCUGCAACAAGUCUCGGAGCACGCACCGCCUGCACGAACUCUUCGUUGAGUCACCCUUAAUUUAGGACGGUGGCCGUCAGACGUAUGGAGUGGCUGUAAAGCUCGAGCAGCCACUAUCGACCAUACGCUCCCCCGAAUUGCCUUGUUAGUGAACCCCAAACUUAGGUCAGCCUUAGGUUAUUUUUAUUUGCAUCAUGUAAUUUACACCUAGUAGGGCUCGGUCCUAGGUACCGUGUCCAUUUGUAGGGAGCCUGUCCAAAUAUUGUCAAAAUGGGCCCAUGGCCCAAAAUGACAUUUAAUCAUCCUAUGUGCUAAAUGUUGCAUCUUUGAGGGUAAAACGGUUAUUUGGCGUACCAAUGUUUGGAAAGAAGGAUAAAAAUGAAGAAACUAGGGCCUACCCGCAUUUCUCUUUCAUUGUUUUCCAAAAAUAAAAAAAAAUAAAAAUAAGAAAAUCUAAAAGAUUUUACAUUCUUUCAUUAUUUUUCAAAAAUUCAAAAAAAGUAGAAAGUGAAAACCGAAAAAAGAUUUUAUACUUUUCCAUUAUUUCCCAAAAACUCAAAAAAAAAGUAGAAAAUGAAAAAAAAUCCAAAAAGAUUUUGCACUUUCCAUAAUUUUUUUUAAAAAGACCAAAAAAUAGUUUUUAUUCUAAAUUGGACGCAUUUUUAAUGAAAAAUCUAUCCUAUAUUUAAUCUUCUCAAACUAAGCGAACCUGAUUCUCGUCUUUCGGGGCGAGAUACUUAGGCAACCCACAUAGGGUCCGGUCUUCCUAAUGUCUUAGGUUCUUGGCUUUGCGGGGUCUUAGCCAAAUCUUGCAUGUCUAGCCACUUUUGGCACAUCGGCUAUUCUUGAAAAAUGGGGUCAUUUUUGCAAAAAGUGGUUUAGUUACCCAUGUCUUAGAAUGUUGAGUCCGCAACUAGGUGUCAUAUUACUUUAAGGUCCGACCUUUUGAGUUUGCAUCUUUAGCAACUUUCGGCCACAUAGGCUAUUUUUGCAAAACGAGUUAUUUCUGCAAAUUAAUUUUGGGCCAUGAUUAUUGUGUAUUUGAAUCGGUAUAAGCCUUAGUGUGGUAUUAUCAUGUUUUUGAGGUCACAUUUGUUGAGUUUGCUCUAAUAGCCAUCCUUAGCCACAUAUGUUAAUUUUGCAAAAGUAGCCCAGUGACGUCUUGCAUGUGUCUAAUAAAAGGUGUCGUGACGUCACAUGUGUCUUGAGUUGCUAACUCUUUUUAAUCUCAUUUUUCUCAUUCAGGUACGGAGAAAUUUGCUAGAGUUUAAGCAUGAAAACCACGGACCAUUGCAUUUAGGAGAUGAUUAUAGAUAUUUUUAUAUUUUGAGUCUGUCAUUCAUGUUGUCUUUUAAUUAUUAGUCUUGUGCAGUAGUAUGAGUCUUUUGUUAUAGUACUUCCCAUUUUGUAUUUAUAAAACCAAAAAAAUUUAUUAUAAAUGAAAAAUCCAAAAAGAUUUUUAUUUUUAGUUUAAUUUAUCCAUCAAUUUUUCAGAACUACGCUUGAUCUAAUGCAUGAGGGACAUGAUACGUAGGCAACCUACAUAGGGUUCGACCGAAGCAUUAAAAAGGGAAAAAAAAUAAAAAAGAGAAUUAAAUUUUGGGAUUUAAGAAAUUAGUGUGAAAAAAAAAGAAGCGAUAACCAGAAAGAAAAGAGGGUGAUAGGAAUGACAAAUCAAUCGGUGUUAGAAAGCAAGAGGAGGAAGGAAAUGAGGCAAAAAGAGUGAAAUUGGGAUGAUGCCAUAUGACCUUCGUACCCUCGAAGCCAUUCUAAAACCGUAAUUAUUGCUAGGGCAUGGCACAAUGUUGUAUUUCUAUCUGCUAAAUGCUCUAACGCUAACUUGUUGGCUUUGUUUUGCUCUCCUUUGUUACAUUCAUUGUUAUCAUAACAGAGGGUGGUUAGUAUGUGGUACUUUGGCAAUUCAUCUGUGCAACGCAAGUUCAAAAAGCAAGCUAACCAUGGCUAGCAAAAACUUGGAUAAGAGAGUUGUCGACCCCCUCGAGGAAGAUUGCGGAGUCGGAAUCUGACUUGAACAAGGAGGUCCAAAUGUUGAAACAACAAAUGUCUAAAAUGUGUCAAGCAUGGGCCAAUAUUCAAGGACCUCCCCUUUCUUAUGCUUUCCCAGAGUUUACACUCAUAUCUGCUGCUACAACUCCGAUUUCAUUGUCCGAUCAAUUCCAUCCAUUCAGGUUCGGCCCUUAUCCCAAUUACACGACUACAGUUGGAAGUUCUGUUGCACGCUCCCAAAGUGUACCAUUGACAACAAAUCAGACAACCACUAUAGUUAAGCCUGUCUUUACCAUCCCACAGCUGACGUUGAUGCAGAGAAAAACUCAUGAGUCACAAUUUGAUUCCCAGCAAGAACAAUAUCACUCUCCUAAGUACCACUCUUACCUAUUUGAUCUUGCUGCAAAGAUUGAGAAGCCUGGGACAAAGGUUGCAUCUGAAGAAAUGACCCGCAGACUGAAAAGCAUAGAACAAAAGUUGAAAAACAUGCAAGGGCCGGCAGGUUAGAAGAGUAUUGCCUUUAAAGAUCUAUGUAUGUUCCCUGAUGUUCGUUUGCCACUUGGUUUCAAGACUCCCAAAUUUGAAAUGUAUGAUGGACAUGGAGACCCCGUAGCCUACCUGAAAGGUAUUGCAAUAAACUGAGAGGCGCGGGGGGAAAUGAAGAACUGUCGAUGGCUUGUUUUGGGGAAAGCCUUACGGGUGUAGCCUCCGAAUGGUUUAUGGGCCAAGACACAUCUUGCUGGUACGUCUGGGAUGAAAUGGCACAUGCCUUUGUCAAACAGUUCCAAUAUAACAUCGACAUUGCUCCAGACCGCAAUUCCCUUCCAAACCUAAAGAAGAAACCAACCGAAAGUUUCAGGGAAUAUUCCACUAAAUGGAGAGAACAAGCAGCUUGAGUUAGGCCACCCAUGGAUGAACACGAGCUAAUCACUGUCUUCAUUCAGUAUCAAGAGCCCGAUUACUUUCAAAACAUGGUGUCCGCAGUUGGAAAAUCAUUCUCGGAAGUAGUCAAAAUGGGAGAAAUGGUAUUGUCUUCCUUCAGGCUCAAGAGCCCGAUUACUUUCAAAACAUGGUGUCUGCAGUUGGUAAAUCAUUCUCGGAAGUAGUCAAAAUGGGAUAAAUGGUAGAGAAUGGCCUCAAGACAGGCAAAAUCAUAAGUCAAUCAACUCUCAGAGCUGCAACUCAGUCUAGCCAAAUUGAAUCUGGUAAUAUUAGUGGCACGAGUGAGAAGGUUGAAGAAAUCAUGAUGACAUCGAAGUCGAGAAGAGGUCCUAGAAGAACAUUUCAAAGGCAUGACCGACCUUAUUUUUUUUUUACGAUUCCCCUGAGAACCCACAAUGCUCUGUUGCUUCACCCCAGUAUGUUCUCGAGCCACCAAGACACCCCAGAAGGCGAGCACCAGCUCCGCGAAAUUUCCACCAGCCUCUGCAAAAUUUUUAGGUGCCCCAUAACCCACAUCCAAGCCAGGGGGACAGAGGUAAACAAAUGUUGAAAGAUAAUUUUACACGAUAGGAGAGUUCUACGCAAGCUUGUUUGAGAAACUAAAGCAUUAUGACCUGAUUGCACCUAUUCCUCCGAAUCAUGUUGACAAGCGUGCAAGAAGCUUUGACCCUUCUAAAAGGUGUGAAUACCAUUCCAAUGCACAUGGGCACAAUGUCGAAAAUUGUCGGGAUUUGAAAGGAGAGAUAGAAAGAAUGAUUCAGGAAGGGAUAAUUGUGGUCCAAGAUAGUGACACCCAAAAUAUUUCACAGAACCCUUUACCUGCACACGGUGAACACACUUUGUGGGGAUGAUGCAUGGUAACACUGAGUAUGAGGAUCGUCUUGGGAGCUUGCUGACUAAAGUUAAUGAUAUUGAAACUGGUGAAGGUCCCAGUAAUUUUGAUAUGCAGUCCAGUGGCUAAGAUGUAGAGCUUGUUGAUUGGAAAGAUACUCCUUUCUCGGCUAGCCAAGGAGGAGUUUUGGUAGUUUAUUUUGUUGUCAUUUCUGUUGUUUGGGUUAAUUCGGGGUUGUAACCCGGAUAUUAUCUUGUGGUUCAAACUCUUCUUCUUCUCAUUUUGUCUAGUUCGUUUAGUUUGUAGUAACUCGUCUAGUGUUAUCUCGAGUUGUUCCAGGGUUGUCACACAUGCCUAUUUUGUUUUUCUUGUUCAAACCCUUUUCAUCAUAUGUCUAUUGCAAUCUCCUAUUUUCUGUUAAUUCUAGUUAGUUUUGUUUAGGUAAUUUUUCCUUUUAUAGUUCUUUUCAUGCUAAUUCUAGUAACAUGACAUGCACGGAUAAUUCUCAGCUUAAUAUUGAAAGUUAGUCUUAUCAUGAAGCAAUGACACAUUUUUGAAUAUGAUAAAAAGAGGAAUUUGAGGAAAAAGUAAGGAUUCACGCAUUCUGAGAAAGUUGGAGCUUCAAUUGAGUGAAACUGAGGCAAUUAUUUUGGAAAAUGAAGAUGUUGCUAAGAGCAUACAACAAGUAAAUGUCUCUCAAGCAGUUUGAGGUAAAUCAGUCAGUGCUAAAAGGCAUUCUUCGACAUCAAGAUAAGGUUGAGUCAAGUCUGCUUCCAACUAGCAAGGUUCAUUCAUUGGGACAAAGGUAUUUUUCAUUGGCACUUUUGCUUGUGUUGAUGCCAUCAAUAGAUACUAUAUGCGGUUUGUUCGCUUAUCUCCAAUUCCAUGCUUGUACUUGGCAUUUUCAAAGUUUGAAUGACGAAGGCAUUUUGCUAUGCUAUCCAAACACUUUUUUCUUUUGCUACCCAUUUUGAGCCCUAAUUUUUUGUUUCAUACCCCUCUUUUGGAAUCAAAAAUAGAGUUACAAACUAGAAAAGGAAAAGAGAAAGAGAAAAAUAAAAAAGGAAAAUAGAAAAGAAAAAAGAAAAAAAAGAGAAAAGAAAGAGUAAAAAGAGAAAAAGAAAGAAAACGAAAAGAACAACGACAAAACUUUGUCGUUUGAACUACGUUUGACCUGAUUCUUGUUUACCACAAGAUACGUAGGCAGUCUCACGGUUCGGUCACAUGAAAUAAAAUAUUUCAUAAUCCCCGAAGUCAAUACUGGGGCAUAUUUUCUUAGAAACCCAUAAAAAAAUCCCCAAACUCCGAGAAACUGGGGCAGAAAUUUUAAUUUUACCGAAAGGCCUGAUUCCAACAGUUGUAAUUUUGAACCCUUUCAUCUUAAAUUAUUUUGAACCUUCAUGCCAUCCUUUCUUUUUAACCAUGUCCAAUAGCCUACAUUACAGUCCAAAGAAAGACCUUCUGACCAAUCUUUGAAGAUGUCAAAUCAAGUGGGUAGUGAAAGUUUAAUCUUCUUGUGUCUUGGGUAAUAACUUAGUUCUUAGCACAAAGAGAGAAAAUGAUAAAAUGAGAGAGUCUUAUUGGUGAAAACCCUCCCGGGCACCAUAAGGCGAUGCUGAGUUGAGAAAAGAACAAAAUGAGAGAGGCUUGAUGGUGAAAACCCUUUCAGGGCACUAUAAGUCGAUUGAGGAUUGUAGAUCAGAUGGGACAAUUGAAGCGCUGAAGCCCAGUUUCACAGUGAAGAGGUACAACAACAAUUAAAUAUUAGACUUGCUUGAGAUCAGGCCACCUAAUCCAAAAUUCAUGUCUUGGUCAGUGGAUAUGGCCAUUCACAUCAUCUUAGUUUCUUCUUUGUUCUUUUUCCUAGGUAAUAAUUUUUUUUUGUUAGAUACCAUCUUUUCUUGUUUUACCUUUAUUUUGUUCCUCAUGUCUUGUUUGAAUCCCUUUUGAGUCUGUUUUGUUGAAACAAGUGAGAAAUGACUUCAAAAUUUGCCACCAGCUUUCCAAUUGCACAAAGUUGAGUCUGUCAAGCACAUCAAAAUGGCAUGUGAUACAGGAGAACAGUGUGUGCACUGAGUUGGUGAUAAUAUAUGUUCUUUGGGAUUGAUGUAAAAUGCAAAGAUUGGAUCAAUGUCAUAACAUACUGCAAUGCAUUGGCAUAAGGUAUUGGACUUGAAUGAAUUAGGAAUAUUUAUUUGUAAUAAGGUUUGAAAGGAAAUGGGUAGUCGACAACAUUCAAGGUCAUCCAAGUUGAAAUCAAAGUUACCUCGGCAAGUGUAGAAGCAGCCGCCUUCAAGAUCAAGGCCACAAACUAACCACUACAUUAAACUCACAAGUUUUCUUUGUUUGAAACAGAAACAAAGCAGUUCAAGCAAGUGGGUUCAAAAACAAAAAAAACAAGUUUUCUUUGUUUGAAACAGGAACAAAGCAGUUCAAGCAAGUGGGUUCAAAAAUAAAAACAAAUAAAAAGAAAAAGAAAAAAAGGAGAAGAAAAGCCGACAAAGGAAAGUUUCUCAAAUCUUUACUUUUAUCUCUCUUUCUAGUGUGCAUAAAUGUUGCCACCGCUCUGUAUAUUUUUCCUCCUAGGAUAAAAGUCCUAGUCUGGUGGAUUUUCCUCCCAACAAAAUCUUAGUCUGAUGAAUCUUUCUCCUAAGAUAUCAAAAAAGAGGGACCUAGUCUGAUGAAUUUUCUCCUAGGAUCAAAAUCUUAGUCUGAUGAAUCUUUCACCUAAGAUAACCAAAAAGACCUAGUCUGAUGAAUUUUCUCCUAGGAUCAACAUCUUAGUCUGACAAAUCUUUCUCCUAAGAUAACAAAAGACCUAGUCUGAUGAAUUUUCUCCUAGGAUCAAAAUCUUAGUCUGACAAAUUUUCCUCCUAAGAUAGCAAACUAGACCUAGUCUGACGAAUUUUCUCCUAGGAUAAAAAUCUUAGUCUGGCGAAUCUUUCUCCUAAAAUAGAAAACCUAGUGAUGAACUUUCUCCUAGGAUCAAAAUCUUAGUCUGAUGAAUUUUUCUCCAGAGAUAGAAAACCUAGUCUGAUGAACUUUCUCCUAGGAUAGAAGUUUUAGUCUGAUGAAUCUUUCUCCUAAGAUAACAAAAAGAGACCUAGUCUGAUGAAUUUUUUCCUAGGAUCAAAAUCUUAGUCUGAUGAAUUUUUUUCCUAAGAUAGAAGACCUAGUCUGACGAAUUUUAUCCUAGGAUAAAAAUCUUAGUCUGAUGAAUCUUUCUCCUAAGAUGGAAGACCUAGUCUGAUGAACUUUCUCCUACGAUCAAAAUCUUAGUCUGAUGAACUUUUCUCCUAAGAUAGAAAACCUAGUCUGAUGAACUUUCUCCUAUGAUCAAAAUCUUAGUCUGAUGAAUCUUUCUCCUAAGAUAGAAAACCUAGUCUGAUGAAUCUUUUCCUAUGAUCGAAAUCUUAGUCUGAUGAAUCUUUCUCCUUAGAUAGAAGAACAAAAAGAGACCUAGUCUAAUAAAUUUUCUCCUAGGAUCAAAAUCUUAGUCUGAUGAAUUUGUCUCCUAAGAUAGACCUAGUUUGACGAAUUUUCUCCUAGGAUAAAAAUCUUAGUCUGAUGAAUUUUUCUUCUAAGAUAGAAUACCUAGUCUAAUGAAUUUCUCCUAGGAUCAAAAUCUUAGUCUGAUGAACUAUUCACCUAAGAUAGGAAACUUACUCUCUUAAAUAUUCUCCUAGGAUCAAUAUCUUAGUCUAUUGAAUCUUUCUCCUAAGAUAGAAGACCUAGUCUGAUGAACUUGCUAAUCAAAUAUUCUUGGUUUUAUUCACAGGAGAUGCACGUCCUAGUCAAGUCUUUAGUUUUACUCUCAAUAUUGCAUCAGUAGCAUAAGUAGUUUACAGUUUUGACAACAACACACCGAUCUUCCUAGUGCAAACUGGGGCAGAAAAUUUUGUUUGUUUUGUUUUUGAUUGCAGUUACCCACCUGGAAAAUUAGGGAAUACAUUUCAAGUUUUGCAAUCAGGCGCCCACCUGGAUAACUACGGAAUACAUUUCAAGUUUUCGCAAUCAGGAGCCCACCUGGAUAACGAGAGAAUACAUUUCAAGUUUUGCAAUUAGGCGCCCACCUAGAUAACGAGGGAAUACAUUUCAUGUUUUAGCAAUCAGGCGCCCACCUGGAUAACGAGGGAAUAUAUUUCUAGUUUUAGCAAUCAGGCACCCACAUGGAUAAUGAGGGAAUACAUAUCAUGUUUUAGCAAUCAGGCGCCCACCUAGAUAACGAGAGAAUACAUUUCAAGUUUUGCAAUCAGGCACCCACCUGGAUAACGAGGGAAUACAUUUCAAGUUUUCGCGAUCAGGCGCCCACCUGGAUAACGAGAGAAUACAUUUCAAGUUUUACAAUCAAGUGCCCACCUGUAUAACGAGGGAAUACAUUUCAUGUUUUAGUAAUCAGGCACCCACCUGGAUAAUGAGGGAAUACAUUUCAUGUUUUAGCAAUCAGGUGCCCACCUGGAUAACGAGGGAAUACAUUGCAAGUUUUAGCAAUCAGGCUCCCACCUGGAUAACGAGGGAAUAUAUUUCAAGUGUUGUAAUCAGGCACCUGCCUGGAUAACGAGGGAAUACAUUUCAAGUUUUGCAAUCAGGCGCCCACCUGGAUAACGAGGGAAUACAUUUCAAGCUUUGCAAUCAGGUGCCCACCUGGAUAACGAGGGAAUAUAUUCCAAGUUCUGGCAAUCACGCGCCCACCUGGAGAAAGAGGGAAUUAAUUUCUGAACUACUUCAACUCAUAAAUUCAAGAAGCAUCAAGAGCCCGCCUGAAGAGCAGGGUGCAUUUUUAAGUUACAUAUUGAAGAUCAAGUAGAGGUCCAAGGAAGAUUCCAAACAAGAAGUAGAUAGGAUCUCGUAUUUUUCUUUUACUCUUGCUAUAAUUUUCCCCUUUAUUUCUGAUGUAAUUGCAGGAACCGCUGACCGGAACCUUGACGAAACGACACCUCGAUCGGCUCUCCACCUCGGUAUCUUCAUCGUCCCAUUCACUUCUGAACUAUACGUGACCUGAUUCCCUUAUAGCCAAGGAUAGGUAGGCAGCCCAGGGCUCGGUCAAAUUCCCUUUUCUCUUAAGUUUAGUCUCUCCAAAUAAGGGUCGGGUAAAAUAAACAUGUCUAGUCGUUCUUUAUCUGAAAAUACUUCGUAUUUCCCGUCAAAGAGGGGCAGCUGUAAACACGUGAUUGUUGACCCUCCCCGAAAUUUUACCAUUAUUUAACGUAAAAUAGUUAAUUUAGGCUUAAUAUAGUUAUUUCAACUAAUUUUGGCUCUUUUACAUAACAUUAAGAACAAAAAUUGAAAAUUACAAAAAUAGUUCUAUAUUUCUCUACUUAGUUCGCGCAUUAGAUAUUUUUAAGAGUAUAUAUUACUUUAAGCCUACUUUUAUUUUAAUAUAAUCCUUGAAAAUACCAAAAAUAGUUUCAAAUUUAAUUGUUAGUUUUAUUUUAAUAUAAAUAAUAUAUCAAAAUUAAUGUAGAGUUUUAUAAGUAUUUAAUUUGAAUGUUCAAUCCUUUUUGUCCUAAAUUUGCACAUGUUGAAGCCCAAUUUUAAACCCACCACCCAAAGGCCCAAUUUUGAGCCCACUUCUUCUUUUAACACAAGAACAAGACUACACAAAAAAAACCUAGCCAUCUUCAUCUUCCAAGGCCUUUAACCUUAAGACAAGAACAACCAUGGAGGCUGCCCUAUCUUCUUGUUCUUGAACAAAGACUAGCGAAACCCUAGCGCCCGAAGAGCAUCCUUCAACGACCAACAUCUAUUGCCGCCACCCAUCUCCACAACCAUAGAACGAUCGUCACCUUUGAAUCCUUCAGCUGGAGCUUCUUCUUCACUCCUUGAACCAGACCCUCACACAAAACGUAACCCCCCCCAAGUUCGUUCUUCUUCAGCAGAGGAACUCCUUAUCAUCCAUUAUCAAGGCCUAAGCAACCAUUGCUGGAACACCUCUCCUCUUCAAAUCAACCAGCGACCAGACGCAACCCACCUCUCCGAAAAAUCAACCAAGGACCAGACCCAACCCACCUCACCGGAAAACACACGCACAUACACCCGAAGAAGGAACGGACGGGAUUCUUUUUCUUAUUUUGAUUUCAGAUUCAAACCUUCUGAUUGUCAUGUCAAUUUCUAGCUUCUUCUUCUAAUUUCUGAUUUUAAUAAAGAAAACAUGGAAUUCAAUUGAGUUUGAGUGAGCCGAUUCCUGUCAACGGUUCCAAUUUUUAGUCGGUGUUCGGGUACCGAUUCGCGUUUGUGCUGAUUUUUUUGGGGUUGAUACUCUUUUUGUUGUUGUUGAAUGUUGUUGCCCUUUAUUUGGACAAAUUUGUAAGCCCGGAGUUUCUCUAAUCUAGAAGAAAUUUUCGCCAUUGAGUUGUGCGAUGGAGUUUCAUUGAGUUGGGCCGUUCCGAGCUGGUCAUAUCCGAACAUUUCGGUUGAUGCAUUUGUUUCUUUUGUGAUUUUCAGUCUUUGAGUGUGAGAGCAAAUUUAUGUCGAGUUUGAUUGAACAUUCUGUCCGAGUGCGAGUUCGGAUGAGAUUUACGGUGCCGAUUCGAGUUUCCGUCGACGGUUCGUCGCGUUUAUACGUUUCAAGGCUGCCGUUCAUUUAAAUUUCAAAGUCAUUGAGGUCCAUUUCUAAACUCUGUUCUUGAUUUAUUUUAGUGCUCUUCUUCGUGCGUUUUAAUAGAAAAUGAAUCCCACUUGAUAUUUGAUUAUCUGGUUUUGCGCAUAUGGUAUACUUUGUCUUGCAUUAGUAUGUUAAGUGUUUGUUGAUGUUUGAUUUCUUAAACAAGCAAAAGUGUCUUAGUAGAUUAAUGAUAUAUUGAAUUGAAUUUUAAUGAAAGUGGACAGUGAGGAAGUUAAGAGAAAGAUUUCAGUUGGAAAUUUGUACAUUUGCUCGUUUUGAAUACCAUUUAUCUCAUCGUACAAGUCGUGGCGGGAUUGGAUAGUCUCACUUGGGUAGGCAACCUUUAGGACUUCUCUUAAUUUUGAGGUGAAAGAUCGUUCCCGUAGUUAAAUUCAUCCGGAAAAUGCCCCGAAGUAUUUGUAUAUAUUUUAAACAGGGGAAUGCCCCAAAGUAAAUGUAAAUGGAGGUCGUGGAAACAUCAAUGGAGGCAUAGUAUAGGCUAGCAAGACUUAUUUCAUUUUGCUUUAUUUUUCUUUUAUUAGGUGAGGACGACCUCAAGCCUUAUGUGUGCUUACUUUGUUUUUUUGUGAUUUUUCCUCAAUUUGAAUGUUUUAAAAGCCAACCAGAUUGAGUACGCAACCUGAUCUUCACGGGACUUGGGAAGUGACUAAUACCUUCUCCCCGAGUCAAAUGAACCCCCUUACCUGAAUCUCUGGUGCGGACUUAGUUUUGAGUCCAAGUGUUUUAAAAGGAAAAAUAUUUUCUAAAAAUGGUGGUCUUGCACACCGAAAUCAAUCCAGAUGGCGACUCUGAGUUUAUUUCCUUUUGAAAUAAAUUUUUGUCACUUUCAAAAUUGAAAGCCCUUUUCAAGCUUUUACUUAAAUCUUUUUAUUAAUUUAAGAGGGUUUAGUGAAAGAUUGAUUUUAGAAAAAGGGGUGUGACAAUAUAUAUAAUUAAACUACGAACUAAUCAAAAGUUUCUUUCUAAAAAUAUGAGAUGACUGAUUGUUUUGCUUACCUGAUUAAUGGGCAUUAGCUUCUUAGGCGAAGGAAUACACUACUGGAAACUUUAUUACCAUUUUUACUUAAGUUUCACUAUAAUUACCUCGUAUAUAAAAUUAUCAAUUAUAUAUAUUUUUAGUAUUUAAGGAUAAUUAAUCAAUUUAUACAAUCACUUUCACUUUCCCAUGUUUCUCUCUGUAUCCCACUCCCCCUCCCCUUCCCCCCAUCCCCACGUAUCUUCACAAGAGAACAAUUCUGCCAUUGAUGGCUACUAAUAAGCUUUGAAGCUUUGAAGUCGAAUUUGGAUUUUUAAAAAAUAUUAUUUAUUUGAAUUGGGUAUAGUUGCAAAUAAUUGAGAAUUCUAUCUACGCAUCUCCCUAUCUCUCAAUCCCUAAUUCUAGUAAUGUAAAGCAAAGGAGAAUAGAGCAACAAUUCCACCAUUGACAACCAUUAAAAACCUUUGAAGCUUUGAAUUUGAAUUGGGUUUUCAAAAAAUCAUUAUUUGUUUGGAUUGGGUGUUGUUGCAAACAAUUGAGAAUAUGGUUUGAAGUUUAUAUCUCAAUUUUGAGGGUGUUUUGGUGAAGAUCAGAUCUAUAUUUUGGCUGAAAUUCAUAUUGAGAUUCGACAUACAUUAUACUGCUGAAAUUAUAGUAAAGUUGUAGUAAAAUUAUAGAAAAAUUGUAUUUAUUUAUUUUUAUAUUUUUUUAUUUAUAAAUUGUAUGAAGAAUAAUAUUGCAUAAAAUUGUAUUUAAGCUGUAUGAUAUUGUAGUUGUAUAUAACUGGGUAAAAAUAAUAUAUGAAAGUUGUAGAUAAGUUGUAGAAUAUAUAAUUAGUUGUAUGAAAUUUAUUUUUAUUAUGUAUAAAUCAUAUACAAAUAUACAAAAAGACAUAUCGUAUAAAAUUUUGUAUAAAAAUUAUAUUUAUGUGGUAUAAUAUUGUAAUUGAAUAUAACUAGAUAGAAAUAAUAUAUAAAAGUUGUAGAUAAAUUGUACAAAGCUACGUCCUCCUUUUAUUUCUUUACUAUUAAUGUUAAAAUUUGCUUCAUUCUAUCGCAGUGAUCUCCGCCCGUGAGUUAUUUUGAUAUUCUUUUUUUUUCCUCUUUUCUAAUAUCAAGUGUAUAACAUUAUGCUGCAAUCUGCAUUGCAAGUAUCUGAAUCAUUAGCUUUUGCAAACAUGAGUUUAAUUCCUGCAGACGUUCUUCUCUCUGAGUAUCGACAUCCUGGUUUUUUGUGCCAAGGAUGUACUUUUGGUUUUUGACAAAAACUUAGUAACCAAUGGCGGACACAAUUGAAUUCGAAUUUUAAACGAAAGCUAUAUAUAUCAGUUGAGAUCUAAGGGAUGAGAUUCUCGAGAUCCCUAAAUGUAAGUUCAAUCCGGAAAGAAGAGGGGAGAGGGGAGAGAGAAGAGAGAAAAGAAAAAGAGAGUAACUAAAUUCCUUACUUGAAGGCACAAAUAAUAAAUUGAAAUCCUUGGAUUGUAUAUAUUUUGUAAUUAAAAUAUGUUUAAAUUAGGUAAAUACAAAAACGUAAUAUUUUCGUAAUAAAAUUUUAAAUAAUGUAUAGGAAUAAAGAAUUAUAAUUGAAAAUAAUUGAGUUGGACUAUGAGUUUGAACUGACAUACAACGUUAGCAAGCCUUAAAAUCUAUUUUACUAAUGGGCCAAUAUGAGAAAAGUUGAAAAAACUACUCUCUAUAGCCCCUUAAAAUUUUAAUAGCUCAUGUUUUGGCUCACUUGCAAAAUAUAUCUCUUUGACCCAAACAUAUUGCAUCUAGUAGCCCGAAAUAUAUAUUUUGUAUAUUUUUUGUAUAGUGACCAUCUAUUUUAUAUAUUGGAAUUCUAUUUUGUAUAAUGACAGUCUAUUUAAUAUAUAUUUUGUAUAAUGACAGCCUAUUUUAUAUAUAUUUUAUAUAAUAAUAGUCUAGUGUAUAUAAAUUAUAUAGUGGCGGUCUAUUUAGUAUAUAUUUUGUAUAGUGACAAUCUAUUUUGUAUAUAUUUUGUAUAAUGACAGUCUAUUUUGCAUAGUGACAGUCUAUUGUAUAUAAAUUGUAUAACAGUCUAUUUAGUAUAUUUUUGUACAGUAACUGUCUAUUUUGUAUAUAUUUUAUAUAAUAAUAUUAUAUUUUGUAUAUCAUUUGUAUAGUGACAGUUUAUUUUUAUAUAUAUUUUGUAUAAUGACAGUCUGUUGUAUGUAAAUUGUAUAGUGAUAAUAGUAUGUAUAUAUAAUGUAUGUAUUGCAUAUACAAUGUAUACAUCAUUGUCAUUCUCUUUAUAUAUAAUGGAUAUUUUUUACUUAUGCAAUAUCAUAUAUUUUUUUCACAUUCAAUCAAUAAAUAAAAUAGGGAUUAUAAUGAAAACAAAUGUUAUAUUGCUUUCCUUAUUCUUUAUUAUUUAAUUUUGUGGGUGGUAUAGAAGCAACCAUAUAAACUUAAUAUUUUCGUGAAAUCAUAAUAUAAUAUUAUAGACAUUUUAAAAAGAAAAAAAAGUUAAAAAAAUAUUGAUUACCAUACACAAUAAUUAGUAUCACGAGUUACACAACAAGAAUUAAAUACAGAUGGUUUUUCCCUUCCUGGCAUCAACACACAGAAAUUGAUAAACGUGAUGAAGUUAGGACAAAAAUUAAUCAUAGCUAAGUCACCUAUUUUCGACGAGGAUAUAUACUUUCAAUGUCACGACCCGAAUUUUUCCACCAUCGGGGUUUGUGAUGGCGCCUACUGUCGGAGCUAGGCAAGCCAACUUAAACAUACCUUUUCAACUAAUUUUCCACAUCUAGUAAUAAUAAAACAAUAAUUUCAGGUGGAAGUCUAAAUUUAAUACUUAAUGAAAGAAAAAUACGGAAAAAUUAACAUCAUCCUCAACCCAAAAUUUGGUAUCACAAUACUCACGGACUACUAUGAAUUACUUCACAUAAGAGUUUGAAAGAAAAUACAUAAGGAGUCUAUUUUCGAUACAAUGAAAAGCAAACAGAAUUAAAAUAGAAGAGACUUCAGGACCGUGGACGCCAACGGACUACCUCGAAAUCUCUGCAGUGAAGGCACGCUCCCAAGCUACUAUUGCGGUCCGUAAUCUAUCUCCUGAUCUGUGCACAAAAGAGGCACAGAAGUGUAGCAUCAGCACAACCGACCCCAUGUGCUGGUAAGUGCCUGGCCUAACCCNNNNNNNNNNNNNNNNNNNNNNNNNNNNNNNNNNNNNNNNNNNNNNNNNNNNNNNNNNNNNNNNNNNNNNNNNNNNNNNNNNNNNNNNNNNNNNNNNNNNNNNNNNNNNNNNNNNNNNNNNNNNNNNNNNNNNNNNNNNNNNUAUACCAGUACGGGAAAGAAACAAUAACAACAUAAUACAAAUAAAGCUGGGAGGGGACAUGCUAUCGGGGAGUGCUAGAUAUAAAUGGAACAUCAGAAACAACAACAGAUCUAUUACAGGUUUUGUGAUACACAUAUCUACAGUGGACGAUGCUCCACACGAUCCCAUAAUGUAUAAUCUGGAUGGAGUGUACGCCUCAUAUUCCCAUAGGGUAGUAUAUAAGUGGACGGCGUGUCACACGAUCCCGUAAUGCAGUAUAUAAGUGGACGGUGCGCCAUAUGAUCCCAUAAUGUAAUAUACAAUUGGACGCGGCGACACACGCUCCCGCAAUGUAGUGUAUAAGUGGACGAAGCUCCACACGCUCUCGUAUUCUCCGUGCACAAUGUCACUGACAUCUCAGGCCAAUAAUAAUAAGUGGGAGGCGUGCCAGACGAUCCCAUAAUGUAAUAUAUGAGUGGAUGGCAUGCCAUAUGAUCCCGUAAUAUAAUAUAUGUGUGGAUGGCGUGCCAAACGAUCCCAUAAUAUAAUAUAUGAGUGGACGGCGUGCCACACGAUCCCGUAAUAUAAUUGAAUAACUCUAACAAUCUCUCUAAAGGAGGUCCCGUUAGGGAAGCGCAUCAAUAUAACAUUCAAACCCGGCAAGGGUACAACUAACAGCCCAAAGUAUCCCGUCAAGGGAAGAAUUAUUCCACAAUAAGUCCCGGCAAGGGAAGAAAAAUUUCACAAUAAGUCUCGGCAAGGGAAAAUAGCUCAAUAAUAAGUCCCGGUAGUCAAACCCGCCAAAGGUACAGCUAACAGCCCAAAAUAUCCCUACAAGGGAAGAACAACUCCAUAGUAAGUCCCGGUAAGGGAAAACAACUCAACAAUAAGUCCCGGCAAGGGAAAAAUACCAAAAUUCCUUCUUUAGCUCAUUUGCUUCUCAACUGUCACUUCAUAAUUUAUUUAACAAGUAAUUAUUACAAUUGUUCACCUCUUUCGACAUUUUAAUAGCAAUUAUGACCCACGGUCAUGCUAGACUCGGGCGCAUAGGUAACCGUCACCAUACCUAUACACCGACUCCNNNNNNNNNNNNNNNNNNNNNNNNNNNNNNNNNNNNNNNNNNNNNNNNNNNNNNNNNNNNNNNNNNNNNNNNNNNNNNNNNNNNNNNNNNNNNNNNNNNNNNNNNNNNNNNNNNNNNNNNNNNNNNNNNNNNNNNNNNNNNNNNNNNNNNNNNNNNNNNNNNNNNNNNNNNNNNNNNNNNNNNNNNNNNNNNNNNNNNNNNNNNNNNAAUCCUAAUCCUAUUCCCUCAAGCUAAAGUUAGAUCAAACACUUACCUCGAAUCCGAAAAUAGCAACUCAUAGCUCAACAAUCGCCUUUCCUCUAGAAUUCGACCCCGGACCAGCGAUAUCUAACAUAAAUCAAUUCAAUAUUAUCAAUAAUAGCACAAGGAUACAAUUUCCUAGCUUAGAAAUAUAAUUUCUAACUUUCUUCCAAAAAUACUAAAAUCCGAAACCAGGCACACAUGGUCCAAACUCGAGGCUCGGACCAAAUUCCGAUUACCCAUAACCCCACAAGUCCAAAUAUAUAAUUUGUUUUAAGAUUCGACCCAAAUUGAGGUUGAAUCGCCCAAAAUUUUCAAAAACCUAACUCUACCCAAAAGCCCUAAUUUCUACCAUGAUUUCAUGUUUUUAGGCUAGGAUUUUAGUGAUUAGAUGAUGAAAUAGUGGGAAAACGAUGUUAAGAUUACUUACCCAAAUAGUUAUGGAGUAAGGAAAGCUUGAAACUCUUCAAUGGAGGGUGAAGAAGAAGGGUUCGUGUGAGAAAAGUGUGAAAUUCACGAAGUGGACUGUUCUGUUUUUAAUUUAAUUCACUUAAGCAAAUUGGCCAACGCGAUCGCGACAUAGGGGAUGCGUUCACGUUGAAGGUAAAAUUUGGGCCAUCGCAAUUGCGAUGGGGAUCACGCUAUCGCGAAGAAUGAAAUUCAGGGGUCCUGGAACUCGGCUUACGUGAACGCGCGAGUAGGGAUGCGUUCACGAUUGAGGAGGGACUGCAAAUACCCGAAUGCGGUAUAUGUUACGCGAUCGCGAAGGAGGAGAAGCCCAAAGAUAUGGGACGCGGAAGGGAGUCCGGGAUCGCGAAGAAGAACUUAGCUGGGCACCAAGAAUAGUGAUUUUCUGCAAUUUUCUAAGUGCAAAACAUCCCGAACCACCCCCGAAAUCACUCCCGAGCCCUCGGGGCUCCCAACCAUCCACACACACUAACUCAAUAACAUCAUACAAACUUGCUCGAGCGAUCAAAUUGGCAAAAUAACAUCAAAAUCGAAGAAUCAACCUCCAAAACUCAUGGUUUUCAUUUCAAAGUUCAAAACUUUCAAAUUUUUCAUUUUUAGUCUGAAACACGUCAAACGACGUUCGUUUUAAACCAUACGUUACAGAUAGCUCUUAGCGCUCAUUUAAGACUUGUACCGGGCGUCGGAACAAAAAUACGAGCCCGAUACCAUUACUUUUGAUCAAAUCUCAUUUUCAUUUUCCCUUAAGAAUUUUUUGAAAACAAUUUUACGAAAAAGAUCUGUACUCGGGCCUGGGACCUCGGAUUUCGAUUCCGGGAAUAUGCCCGAGUCCCAAAUUUCAUUACGGAUCCUCCAAGAUCAUCACAUCACGGGUCCGGGUCUGUUGACCCAAAAUGUUGACCAAAGUCAACUAUAGCAGUAUUAUUAUUAAAAUUCAUAGUUUUUAAUACUGAAUUCAAAUAUUUCCACAUAAAAACUUUCCCGCUUCGCGCCCGGACUGCUCAUGCAAAUAGAGGAAACCAAAUAAGAGGUUUUCAAGGCCACAGAAGCACAAAGAAGGGAAGAAUUACAGUGAUGACCCUUUGGAUCGUCACAUCCUCCACCUCUAACACAACCGUUCGUCCUCGAAUAGACAAAAGAAAGAAGUACCAGAGUCCGGGAAUAGAUGGGGAUAAUGGCUCCGCAUAUCAUACUCGGACUCCCAGGUCAAUGCCUCAAGAGGCUGACCUCUCCACUGAACACGCACUAAAGGAAAACUCUGCGACCUCAACUGUCGAACGUGCCGGUCUAAAUAGCCACCGGCUCAUCCUCGUAUGACAGAUCCUUGUCCAAUUGGACAGUGCUGAAAUCCAACACAUGGGCGGGAUCGCCGUGAUACUUCCUAAGCAUGGAUACAUGAAAAAUUGGAUGCACGGCUGACAAGCUAAGCAGCAAGGAAAGUCUACAAGCUACCUUCCCAACACGGUGAAGAAUCUCAAAUGUGCCAAUAAACCUAGGGAUAAGCUUGCCCUUCUUCCCGAGUCUCAUCACGCCCUUCAUAGGCAAUAAACGGAGCAAUACUCGCUCACCAACCAUGAAAGAAACAUCCCUGACCUUACAAUCUGCAUAACUCUUCUGCCUAGACUGAGCUUACUGAAGUCUGUCCUGAAUAAUUUUUACCUUAUCCAAGGCCUCCUGCUAAAUCUGUACCCAAUAACCGAGCCUCUCCCGGCUCAAACCAUCCGACGGGGGACCGGCAGUGCCUACCAUACAACGCAUCAUACGGAGCCAUCUGAAUACUAGACUGGUAGCUGUUGUUGUAGCCAAACUCUGCUAAAGGCAAGAACUGAUCCCACGAGCCUCCAAAAUUAAUAACUCAGGCUCGGAGCAUGUCCUCAAGAAUCUGAAUAGUCCUCUCGAACUUUCCGUCCGUCUGGGAGUGAAAUGAUGUACUUAACUGGACCUUGGUGCCCAACUCAUGCUGUACCGCUCUCCAGAAAUGCGAGGUAAAUUGAGGAUCCCGGUCCGAGAUAAUAGAUAUGGGCACCCCAUGAAGGCAAACGAUCUCUCUGAUAUAAAUCUCACCAUACCUCUCAAAUGAAUAGGUGGUGGCAAUAUGGGAUAAAAUGCGCUGACUUGGUCAGCCUAUCAACAAUAACCCAUAUAGCAUCAAACUUCUUCCAAGUCAUUGUAAAGCCAGUAACAAAAUCCAUGGUGAUCCUCUGCAACUUCCACUAGGGAAGCACAAUCCUCUGAAAUAUUCCACUGGGCCUCUGAUGCUCGUACUUUAGCUGCUAACAAUUCAAACAACGAGCUACAUAUGCAACAAUGUCUUUCUUCAUUCUGCGCCAUCAAUAAUGCUAUCUCGAAUCCUGAUACAUCUUCGCGGUGCCCGGAUGAAUAGAAUACCAAAAACUGUGGGCCUCAGCUAAGAUCGACUCUCGAAUACCAUUAACAUUAGGCACACCGACUCGCCCCUGCAACCUCAAUACGCCAUAAUCUCCCAAAGUUAUCUCCCUGGCACCUCCCCGCUACACCGUCUCUCUUAGGACAUACAAAUGGGGUUCAUCAAAAUGCCGCUCCCGGAUGCGCUCCAUUAGUGACAAACGAGCAACCGUGCAAGCUAACACCCUGCUGGGCUCAGAAAUAUCCAAUCUCACAAAUCUAUCGCUCAUGGAUACGCUCCAUUAAUGACGAACGAGCAACCGUGCAAGCUAACACCCUGCUGGCUCAAAAAUAUCCAAUCUCACAAAUCUAUUGGCCAAGGCCUAAACAUCCAAGGCAAGCGGUCUCUGGCUGACCGUAAUAUAUGCAAGACUACCCAUGUUAGCGGACUUCCUACUCAAUGCAUCGGCAACCACAUUGGCCUUCCCCAGGUGGUAUAAGAUAGAAACAUCAUAGUCUUUCAACAAAUAGAACCACCUCUGCAGUCUCAAAGCCAAUUCUUUCUGCUUGAACAAGUACUGAAGGCUCUUGUGAUCUGUGUACACCUCACACAUCACACCAUUCAAAUAACGCCUCUAGAUCUUCAAAGUCCACCAUAUCUAAGAGAAAUAAGUCGACACGGGUCUCAAGACCCUAAAAAUACCACCACUCACGAACAAUGCACUCAGACGACCACUACGGAAUCACUCAUCGAUGUAGACAUAUACACA
rnacentral:lncRNA from 1 species